AUUAAACGCUGGCGGCAUGCCUUACACAUGCAAGUCGAACGGUAGCGCGGGGCAACCUGGCGACGAGUGGCGAACGGGUGAGUAAAGCAUCGGAACGUGCCCUGGAAUGGGGGAUAACGUAGCGAAAGUUACGCUAAUACCGCAUAUUCUGUGAGCAGGAAGGCAGGGGAUCGCAAGACCUUGCGUUCUGGGAGCGGCCGAUGUCGGAUUAGCUAGUUGGUGGGGUAAAAGCCUACCAAGGCGACGAUCCGUAGCGGGUCUGAGAGGAUGAC
rnacentral:rRNA from 1 species